rnacentral:rRNA from 1 species
UACGGAGGGUGCAAGCGUUAUCCGGAUUUACUGGGUUUAAAGGGUGCGUAGGCGGGCUUUUAAGUCAGUGGUGAAAUCUCCGAGCUUAACUCGGGAAUUGCCAUUGAUACUAUUAGUCUUGAAUUAAGUUGAGGUGGGCGGAAUGUGUCAUGUAGCGGUGAAAUGCUUAGAUAUGACACAGAACACCGAUUGCGAAGGCAGCUCGCUAAACUUAUAUUGACGCUGAGGCACGAAAGCGUGGGGAGCGAACAGG